rnacentral:rRNA from 1 species
GCAUAUCAAUAAGCGGAGGAAAAGAAACCAACAGGGAUUGCCCUAGUAACGGCGAGUGAAGCGGCAACAGCUCAAAUUUGAAAUCUGGCCUUCUGGUCCGAAUUGUAAUUUGCAGAGGAUGCAUUUGACGCGGUACCUUUCGAGUUCCUUGGAACAGGACGCCUUAGAGGGUGAGAGCCCCGUACGAUUGGCCACCAAGUCUCUGUAAUGCUCCUUCGACGAGUCGAGUAGUUUGGGAAUGCUGCUCUAAAUGGGAGGUAAAUUUCUUCUAAAGCUAAAUACCGGCCAGAGACCGAUAGCGCACAAGUAGAGUGAUCGAAAGAUGAAAAGCACUUUGAAAAGAGGGUUAAAUAGCACGUGAAAUUGUUGAAAGGGAAGCGCUUAUGACCAGACUUUUUCUAGGGGGAUCAUCCGGCGUUCUCGCUGGUGCACUUCCCCUGGUUUAGGCCAACAUCGGUUUCUGCGGGAGGAUAAAGGCUUCGGGAAUGUGACUCCUCCGGGAGUGUUAUAGCCCGUUGCAUAAUACCCUCGCGGGGACCGAGGUACGCGCAUUGCAAGGAUGUUGGCAUAAUGGUCAUCAGUGACCCGUCUUGAAACACGGACCAAGGAGUCGAACAUUUGUGCGAGUGUUUGGGUGUCAAACCCUCACGCGUAAUGAAAGUGAACGGAGGUGAGAGCCUUAGGGUGCAUCAUCGACCGAUCCUGAUGUCUUCGGAUGGAUUUGAGUAAGAGCAUAACUGUUCGGACCCGAAAGAUGGUGAACUAUGCGUGGAUAGGGUGAAGCCAGAGGAAACUCUGGUGGAGGCUCGCAGCGGUUCUGACGUGCAAAUCGAUCGUCAAAUCUGCGCAUGGGGGCGAAAGACUAAUCGAACCAUCUAGUAGCUGGUUACCGCCGA